GUGAAAUUGUGAAAGGGAAGCGCUUGCAACCAGACCUGCCUGCAGUUGCUCAUCCGGGCUUUUGCCCGGUGCACUCUUCUGCUGUCAGGCCAGCAUCAGUUCGGGCGGUCGGAUAAAGGCUUCGGGAAUGUAGCUCCUCUCGAGGAGUGUUAUAGCCCGUUGCGAAAUGCGGCCAGCCUGAACUGAGGUCCGCGCUUCGGCUAGGAUGCUGGCGUAAUGGUUGUAAGCGGCCCGUCUUGAAACACGGACCAAGGAGUCUAACAUCUGUGCGAGUGUUUGGGUGUCAAACCCGUACGCGUAAUGAAAGUGAACGGAGGCGGGAACCCCUCGGGGUGCACCGUCGACCGAUCCUGAUGUCUUCGGAUGGAUUUGAGUAAGAGCAUAGCUGUUGGGACCCGAAAGAUGGUGAACUAUGCCUGAAUAGGGUGAAGCCAGAGGAAACUCUGGUGGAGGCUCGCAGCGGUUCUGACGUGCAAAUCGAUCGUCAAAUUUGGGCAUAGGGGCGAAAGACUAAUCGAACUAUCUAGUAGCUGGUUCCUGCCGAAGUUUCCCUCAGGAUAGCAGUAACGUUUUCAGUUUUAUGAGGUAAAGCGAAUGAUUAGAGGCCUGGGGGUUGAAACAACCUUCACCUAUUCUCAAACUUUAAAUAUGUAAGAAGUCCUUGUUGCUUAGUUGAACGUGGACAUUUGAAUGUAUCGUUACUAGUGGGCCAUUUUUGGUAAGCAGAACUGGCGAUGCGGGAUGAACCGAACGCGGAGUUAAGGUGCCGGAAUGCACGCUCAUCAGACACCACAAAAGGUGUUGGUUCAUCUAG
rnacentral:rRNA from 1 species